rnacentral:rRNA from 1 species
AGCGAACGCUGGCGGCAGGCCUAACACAUGCAAGUCGAACGGACCCUUCGGGGUUAGUGGCGGACGGGUGAGUAACACGUGGGAACGUGCCUUUAGGUUCGGAAUAGCUCCUGGAAACGGGUGGUAAUGCCGAAUGUGCCCUUCGGGGGAAAGAUUUAUCGCCUUUAGAGCGGCCCGCGUCUGAUUAGCUAGUUGGUGGUGGAACGGACCACAAAGGCGACGAUCAGUAGCUGGUCUGAGAGGAUGAUCAGCCACAUUGGGACUGAGACACGGACCAAACUCCUACGGGAGGCAGCAGUGGGGAAUCUUGCGCAAUGGACGAAAGCCUGACGCAGCCAUGCCGCGUGAAUGAUGAAGGUCUUAGGAUUGUAAAAUUCUUUCACCGGGGACGAUAAUGACGGUACCCGGAGAAGAAGCCCCGGCUGACUUCGUGCCAGCCGCCGCCGUAAAAC